GUGCUCACUUCAGCAGCACAUAUACUAACACUGGGAUGAUAUAGAGAAGAUUAGCAUGGCCUCU
ensembl:snRNA U6 U6 spliceosomal RNA